AACGAACGUUGGCGGCGUGGAUUAGGCAUGCAAGUCGAGCGAAUCCCAGCAAUGGGGGAAGCGGCGAAAGGGGCAGUAAGGCAUGGGUAACCUACCCUGGGGACUGGAAUAGCCCUUCGAGAGAAGGGGUAAUACCGGGCGACGAGCAGACAGGGCAUCCUGUUUUCUCCAAAUGAGUUUUCGCCCUGGGAGGGGCCCAUGUGAUAUUAGCUAGUUGGUGAGGUAACGGCUCACCAAGGCGAAGAUGUCUAGCGGGUGUGAGAGCACGACCCGCGCCAUUGGCACUGAGAUACUGGCCAAACACCUACGGGUGGCUGCAGUCGAGGAUCUUCGGCAAUGAGCGCAAGCUUGACCGAGCGACGCCGCGUGUGCGAUGAAGGCCUUCGGUUGUAAGCACUGUCGAGAGGGAGGAAAGGGAAACGUUAGAUCUAUCUCUGGAGGAGCGACGGGCGUAAGUUCGUGUCCACGCAGCCGGCCGGUAAGAGUCACGUGUAC
rnacentral:rRNA from 1 species